rnacentral:rRNA from 1 species
CCUACGGGAGGCUGCAGUGGGGAAUAUUGGACAAUGGGGGGAACCCUGAUCCAGCCAUGCCGCGUGUGUGAAGAAGGCCCUCGGGUUGUAAAGCACUUUCAGUGAGGAAGAACGCCUGGUGGUUAAUACCCAUCAGGAAAGACAUCACUCACAGAAGAAGCACCGGCUAACUCCGUGCCAGCAGCCGCGGUAAUACGGAGGGUGCGAGCGUUAAUCGGAAUUACUGGGCGUAAAGCGCGCGUAGGUGGCUUGAUAAGCCGGUUGUGAAAGCCCCGGGCUCAACCUGGGAACGGCAUUCGGAACUGUCAAGCUAGAGUGCAGGAGAGGAAGGUAGAAUUCCCGGUGUAGCGGUGAAAUGCGUAGAGAUCGGGAGGAAUACCAGUGGCGAAGGCGGCCUUCUGGACUGACACUGACACUGAGGUGCGAAAGCGUGGGUAGCAAACAGGAUUAGAUACCCUUGUAGUC